rnacentral:rRNA from 1 species
AAAACCUGCUUUUUCUAGCAGACGAGUGGCGGACGGGGAUAUAAUAUUUGGAAGCUACCUGAUAGAGGGGGACAACAGUUGGAAACGACUGCUAUUACCGCAUAUAGCUUGAGGGUGAAAGCAGCAAAGCGAGAUCAGAUGCGCCCAAACGGGAUUAGUUGGUAGCGUGGGGUAAAGGCUCACGUAGGCGACGAUCUCUAGCUGGUAUGAGAGGAUGAUCAGCCACAUUGAGAGUGAGACACGGCCCAGACUCUUACGAGAGGCAGCAGUAGGGAAUACUGCACAAUGGGGGAAACCAUGAAGCAGCCAUGCCGCGAGAGUGAAGAAGGCCUUGGGGUAGUAAAGCACUUUCGGAGGGGAGGAACAAAUGACGUUACCCUCAGAAGAAGCACCGGCUAACUCCGUGCCAGCAGCCGCGGUAAUACGGAGGGUGCAAGCGUUAAUAGGAAUAACUGGGCGUAAAGGGCACGCAGGCGGUUAAACAAGUAGGAUGAGAUAAUCCCCGGGCUCAACCUGGGAACUGCAUUAUAAACUCUUUAACUAGAGUAUUGCAGGGGGAGAGGGAAUUCCAGGUGUAGCGGUGGAAUGAGUAGAUAUGAGGAAGAACACCAAAGGAGAAGGCAGUCUGGUGGGCAAAUAAUGACGCUCAGAUGAGAAAGCGUGGGCAGCAAACGAGGAUUAUGAUACCGUGGUACUCCCCGCAGUAAACGAUGUCAAAGAGGAGCUUGCGCUUAAGUAUGGGUUCCGCAGCUAACGCAAUAAAU